rnacentral:rRNA from 1 species
GUCCAUGCCGUAAACGAUGAUUACUAGGUGUGGGGACUGACCCCUUCCGUGCCGCAGUUAACACAAUAAGUAAUCCACCUGGGGAGUACGGCCGCAAGGUUGAAACUCAAAGGAAUUGACGGGGCCCGCACAAGCAGUGGAGUAUGUGGUUUAAUUCGAAGCAACGCGAAGAACCUUACCAGGUCUUGACAUCUCCUGCAUACCUAAGAGAUUAGGGAAGUCCCUUCGGGGACAGGAAGACAGGUGGUGCAUGGUUGUCGU